rnacentral:sRNA from 1 species
UAAUUUCUUUGCUUUGGUAUUGGCUUUCAUGUAAGUAUUACAUCAACCUUUUUAAAAUCAAAAUGAAAUUUAUUCUUAAAAUAUCUUUUUUAAACCAAUGUUUCUCAGGAAGCGUUGCUUCAGAUUAAAUGUUUUCUCAUUGAUUAAUAAUAUAUUCAUAUUGAAAAAAAAUAAAAUUAAAUUUUUGAGUUGUUAGUAAGGGGAAAAAAAUAUUGUGUUGCCCCUUUUCAGUUAUUGUGAUAAAAAUUGAGAAGCUGUCUGACACAUUAUAAUCUAAAAAUUUUUGGCUCAGAAACUUACAGAAGUUAAAAAAGAAUGCGGGUAAUUAAGCUAUAAAUACUUAAAUUUUUGUUUUUGGAAUAAGUUUACAAGGCGGACACUUGGCAACUAUGAAACUGGAUUGUCUCACAAACAUGCAAUAUAAUCAGUUUUGCCGUCCUGUUUCCCUAUCACAUUUUUGUACAUUUUAUUAUCAUUUGAUUUAAUCAAAACUCAUAUCGUGUGUUUAGGGUAGGCCAAUAUCUAGAGGUUUUUCUUAUCCUUUUACUUUGAACGGGGUUAAGUAUGGAGACUGAAUCCUGCUAGUUAGGACGUCCCUCAUACGUUCGUAAACCCCACUCCCAGUGUUUGCUUGUUUAGAACUGAUUUAUGUUACAUAGUUUUUGGGUUUUCUGUUGUAGACUACGCUUUUACAGAAAUUAAGUAUGCAUUUUUUUAUUGGAGAAGCAAGCAUAAAAUUUGUUUUGAAUGUAUUGUUUUCAUUAUAUAAUAAAGUUUUGUUUUGAAU